GGGCGCAAGCCUGAUCCAGCAAUGCCGCGUGCAGGAUGAAGGCCUUCGGGUUGUAAACUGCUUUUGUACGGAACGAAAAGCCCUGGGUUAAUACCCUGGGGUCAUGACGGUACCGUAAGAAUAAGCACCGGCUAACUACGUGCCAGCAGCCGCGGUAAUACGUAGGGUGCGAGCGUUAAUCGGAAUUACUGGGCGUAAAGCGUGCGCAGGCGGUUUUGUAAGACAGAGGUGAAAUCCCCGGGCUCAACCUGGGAACUGCCUUUGUGACUGCAAGGCUAGAGUACGGCAGAGGGGGAUGGAAUUCCGCGUGUAGCAGUGAAAUGCGUAGAUAUGCGGAGGAACACCGAUGGCGAAGGCAAUCCCCUGGGCCUGUACUGACGCUCAUGCACGAAAGCGUGGGGAGCAAACAGGAUUAGAUACCCUGGUAGUCCACGCCCUAAACGAUGUCAACUGGUUGUUGGGUCUUAACUGACUCAGUAACGAAGCUAACGCGUGAAGUUGACCGCCUGGGG
rnacentral:rRNA from 1 species